GGUUGUGUGGUGUAGUGGUUAGAGCAUUGGGCUAGGACCUGGGAAGCCAGGCUUCAAACCUAUACUCAGGGAUUCAAAUCCCCGCUCAGCCA